rnacentral:sRNA from 1 species
AUCCUUCUAUUGAUUUUUUUUCUACUCAAAAUUUUGACCUUAAUGUACUUUUUCUAUCCUUUUCGUGAUCUUUGCUAUAUUACGGGACAAAAAUUAUAUGUUCAGACAUUGUUUUCCAAUUUUUUGCAUGUAUCAAAGCUCUUAUAAACAAGAUAGGGUAUUCCUACAUAGCUGGUGGGACCCACGGCAAAUGGAUCAUAAAGUCUUCAAAAACGAAUAGAUACGAUUGCAUUGCAUGUAGUAACGGAUGCGAUCAUAUCAGCACUUAUGCAUCAGAUCCCAUCAAUACUCUGCAGUUAAGCUUGCUUGGGCGAGAAUAGUAUUAGGAUGGGUGACCUCCGGGAAAGUCGUUGUGUUGUAUCAUUCUUUUUUUCGGUUUUUCUCUAUUUGUUUUGUUAAAAAUGUAUGACUAUAUAACUUUUAGAUUGUGAGGCGAAACUUCGCAUGUGAUACCUUUUCGGAAAGCCCAAAGAGAGCUCUCCAAUGAAUGAGGAAGGAAAUUGGAAUUC